AUUGGAUUGAAAUCUUAGGUAGGAAAGGGCAGUUUGAAAUAAUACAAUGUAAUAAGAAGGACUGUGUACUGCUUAACGGAGAUAUAAUCUAGAUGCGCUGAAUCAUAGCCUGUAUAGCAAAAAGAAAAUCAGCUUGUCAGAAUAUAUUAAAUAGUAUACAUAUGAAAAAUCUACUAGACAUAUCUCUAAAUUUUCGUUUUGAGAUUAAGGUGACCUUUAAACAUGCAUAAAUCUUUGCAAAAGUACUGGAACCGAAACAAGUGUCACGAAGCUGGUAUUAAUCUUAGAUAUUUGGUGUCAGUGUAAAACAGUACACAAACAAGCUACUCUUUUGUCAAAAAGUGGUCCAUGAAGGGAAGGUCUAGCAUCACUCACCUUUUGACUUAGAUGACAAAAAUUUAAAUCAAUGACCUAGUUUACACUCCAAGACGGUCCGCUUUAAACAUGGUCUAGAUUUUAAAAGGAGAAAUAUUAACAAGAGGACCAAGAAGGCUCUAGGACGCUCAUCUGAAUAACACGCCAUCACAGUGUAAACAUAUUGGACCUAUUGAAUCAUGGAAACAAAUAUUCUUAACAAUUUUCAUUACGAUUGGACAACAAUGUGGCAUCUUGAGUAUCAUCAAGCUUUUUUCUUUUCACCGAAUGACCUAGUGUUUAACCCCACAUGACACAGUUUUGGUCUUAUCCAUGACUUUAUAAAUACAAACAUUUUAACAAAGUUUCGAGAAAAUUGGAGCCCAUUCUUACCAAGUUUUAUGCAAUCAAAUGAAUGACAAAUCCACACCUUAUCACAUACACAAGGUUUAUCGUUGAUUUUAAAUUUUAAACAGGUAGUCUAGUUUUUUAACUCUUGGUGAUCUAGAUCAAAACUUGACCUAGAUUUCAUCAUGAAAGUCAUUCUGAAGAAAUUCUACGAAUAUCCAGUCAAACAUGUAGCCCCUAUUGCACAUAUAUAAUUUUACUUCGAAUUGAUUUAGUGACCUAGUUUCUUUGCAUUUGAUUUGACCGCUUGACCUAGUUUUUAAACCCAUAUAAUAUAGAUUCAAACUUGACCUAGAGAUCAUCAAGGCAAACACUCUGACAGAGAUUCAUGAAGAUUGAAUCACAACUGUUGCCUCUAGAGUGUUUUAGUGCUUUUUCUUAGAUCUGGCCUAAUGACCUAGUAUUGAACAGACAUGCCCAGUUUCAAAUUUGACCUAGAGAUCAUCAAGAGAAACAUUGUUAUCAAGUUUCAUAAAAAUUGAGCCUCAACAGUGGCUUCUAGAGUAGCAAGGUUAGGGAUAGGGAUAUUAGCAAAAUCAAGGGCCCGAAAGUCUGAUCCUACUUGUCUGAUUUUGUUCAAACUGAACUCAUCAAAGAUCGCAUGACAAUACAUGUACUAUGUGAAUAAGCUUUUUUGAUUUGUGAAGAAAUGAAGGUUGUAGAGAAUAAUCAACGUAAAUAUAAUAAUGUAAUUUUUGUAUAUCAAGGGCUCAUAACUCUUGACCUACUAGCCCGAUUUUGUUCAUACUCUUAUCCAUCUAAGAUAUUGAGGUCAUACAUUGUAAGUGUGUAAACAAGGUACAAUGUAGCAAAUUUUGUCCAUUAAGGGAACAUAACUCUUAUCCUACAGGCCCCGAUUUCGCUGAUAAUGUAAAUUAUACAAGAUCUUGAAGUCAUACACAAUCUGUAUAAACAUUGUUUUGAUUGGUGAAGAAAUUAAGAUGCUAGAGUUGAAACAAAGUGAAAUCAAGCACAUUUUGUCAAUCAAGGGCACAUAAACCUUGACAAGCUCAUCCAAGCCCACAAUCAAACUCAUCCGAUGUAUUGUGAUCAAAAACAUUUUAACCAAGUUGAAUUAUGAUUGCUUCAAAAUUGUGGAUACUAAGGUGUGUACAAACUAAAUGUAAACAGAAGAAUGACAGCCAUUCAUCGGUCCUUACAGCUCACCAUAAAAAUUCCGCUCACGUGAGCUUAAAAUAUAUGUUACAUUUUGUGCAAUAUUACUGAUACCACCAUGAUUUCAACGAAAUAAUUAAUACUUCACCAUUGAUGGCAAUGUUAGAUGUUAAUUUGAUAACAUAUUUCACCAGAUUUAUGUAGCACCUUUGUAUAAAGAUGUUUUACAUAGCAAGGCAGCAGCUCUGGGUACCAAAUUACUUCCAGUACAGAUAUAUUACGAACUGACCAGAGGGACAGAGUGAGAAAAAGCUCCAAAACAGAGGGAAUAGAUUUUUUAGAUACAUGUUUGGCUAAUUUAUCUUUGUAUUUUCAUUUUAUAUCACAUGUUUUAGUUAUUAGUUAUAAAAGUGUAUAAGCACACAAUGUAUAGGUACAGUUGGAUGUAUACACAAUAUUCUGUAGAAAUCUGUCUUAUAAUUCUGAUAGCGUAAAUGAAUCUAGUAUCAAAAAUACACCAAUUAUAAUGUUUAAAUAUUUGACGUUGUGUAGCCUCAGCCUGACCUCAGCAAAGAUUGUCCACCGUAGAAAUUAUACAUGAAAUGUACAAGACCAAACACAAAGAAAAGGAACAAAAUAAGUAUAUUGAUAUAUCGUUAUAAUAUGAUACAUUUUAAGAAGUAUUGGGAUCCAAAUCAUGUUUGGUUUAAAAACAAUCUGACUAAAGUAAUUGAUCUUCUAAACGAAGAUCUGAAAACGACCCAUUCACAUUCGUCUUCUGUAUAUUUUGGAUUUCCAAUAUUGCUAUUUUUAUUUUCGCAAAUCUAUUUUUGUUUGAACCAAUCAGACAACUUGUUCGAAUGUCAAAGAGUAAGAAAAAUUUGCAGUUAUUCCAGGGCUCGAACCCGAGACCUCUCGCUUACAAAGCAAGUGCCCUACCGACUGAGCUAACCGGCUAUCUGACAUCUUUCGACAAAAAAAUGUUAAUAUCAAAAACCAAAGCUUGCAGAAUGUUGUAAGUUAGCUUUUGAUUGGCUAGCGGAAGGGUUGUCAGAACGAGGCCAUCAAUAGCUCGUUGUCAGAUCCUAUGCGUAGCGUAAUAGGAGAUGUACUUUUGUCAGAUUGGUUUAAAAAUAAUGAUUAAAAUUAAUGUGAGGUAGCUAUAAACGGUUACACUUAUCAUUCUCUAGAUAAAGGUCCUUACUAUAAAGCCUGCUUACUAUGGCCACUAUUUUCUUUCCUUAUGUAACAAUACAUUUUUUUCUGAAUUCAGAGAUCAACUGCUACUAUAUCUUUCCUUAUGUAACAAUACAUUUUCCUGAAUUCAGAGAUCAACUGCUACUAACUUUCAGUUUUUCUUUUCCUAUGUGUGUUUUUUAAAAAAGGGAUGACAGUACAGAAAUGUAUUUCCUUUUUUCUCAUGCAAAAAAAACAAAACAAAAAAACAAAAAACAAAAAAAAAAAACCAUUAUCAAACAACACCUCUAAAAAUACCUGUGAAAUGUCCAGAGGCAUUGGUCAUCUGCUACCAUAAAAAUGGUUCAUAUUUAUUUCAUUUAGAAAAACAAAAACAAAUGAAAACAGACAAAAUAUCAGCUUUCUAUUUAAAUGGUUGCCUGGUUCGAACAAUACUUUAUUAAUAUAUCAAGGUAACAUUAUACUAAUAAGGUAUCUUCUUUAUUGUAUCUCGACUUCAUGUCGAUUUGCUGUAAAGCCCAGUUCACUCACUCACCCUUUAUUGCAUAUAAACAUAUUUAUGUCGAACCCUCAUUUUCAGUGUUUAGAGCAUUUCAAUGAUAUGAAAACCAUAUAAGAUAGAAUAAUAUGUCUUCUUACAAAAAUGAAAUUAUCAGUAUGUUAUGUUACAUAUAAGAAAUAUAAUAUCAUUUUUUGAAAAACAACAACAACAAUCUUUGAAAGGCUCACAUGAAAUUUAUUGUUCACCAAUUACAUGUAUGUAGACAUUUUCUCAAUACAUAGUAAUAAAACCUGAACAUUCACAGUGAUUUCAGUCUAUAACCUUUUCCAAUACAAUAAGCUGUUAAACUAAGCAAGAAAUCUCUCUGACACAUCCUUAUAUGACCCAUUCUAUCAUAUUUCAUCAAUGGCAUAAAAUCUGUAAAAAGAUCACACUUUGGACUAUUUCACAUGUAACACUAAGUGGUCAUUUUUUAUUUGAUGUAAACAGUCCUUUAAAAAAGGUAUGUUAAACAUUACAGUUAGAGCAUAUGUAUGAUAUAACAACAAGGUCCAAGCGUGUGAUUGCCAGAAAAGUCUCCUCAUAUUUAGACUCAGUGCUGUUAAAUUUCCAGUCUAGUUAUAUAAUGAUGGAAAAGGACAAUGUCAGUUCAGUUCUGCAGUGACAGUGUAGAAAAACGGUAAACAUAUUUCCAUUUCACUCUUUUGAGUGUUCUAAAUAUGCAUAUUUACUGCUAAAUUUAGGUAUUAGGGUGAGGCUGAGAAUAUUUUACAGUAAAAGUGUGUGAUUUCAGUGCAGUGUUUGGUAAUUUUGGUGAAAUAUGACAAAAUUAAGCCACAGUAAGGAAAGUUUUCAUUAAAUAUGUCACGACGGCUUUUAAGGAAAUCUUGAGCGCUUGCAUACGUUACUGAAAAAGCUUAAGAACCUUAUCAUUUAAUUCAUUCAAGCUAGUUGUAUCGAAUAUAUCAUCUUACAAAAACAUUUCGAACGCAGACACAUACACAAACAAAAGGAUGAAUACAAUAUGCAUACUUACUCUAGACAAGCUAAAAGGUAAGUUAAAAUGUCCAUUUGGCCCUGAUGCACUCACCUAAUUAAGACCUUGACAAUCUGAUAUGAACAAGCUUGGCUAACAUCUUUUAAGAAGUUCAUUAGAACAGAAUGUAUUUAAAGGUUUCUUCUGAAUUUUGCUGUAACUGCCUGAAAUGCGUUGCUAUUAGAAUAAUCUUCAAGACCUUCAUUAUUUUUAUUUGGUUCUGAUAUUUUUCACUAAAUGGGACCGAGCAAAUUCAUUUGAACUUAUUUAUUGAAAUGUUGUUGUUGUUUUCUUUUUGGUUUUUAGUGUGUGUGUGUGUGUGUGUGUGUGUGUGUGUUUGUUUAACGUCGCACCGACACCUUUUAAGUUCAUAUUGCAACUUUCCAGCUAUGAUGGUGGAGAAAGUCCCCAAGUGCCCCUCCGUGUAUUGCACCUUGGUAAAACCAACGACCUUCCGUAAGCCAUCUGCAUGGCUUCCUUACAUGAGGAAUUUAACGCAAUGAUUAAGGCUCGAAUCAACGUCGUAGAGAGGCAAGUGAUUCGAGGGGAACACCAGGGCGCCCAUUAAAUUUGAAGUUCAAUAAACAACAAUCAAGCAGUUCAUGGAAUGUUUUUCUAUUGUUAACUCUUGGGACUUUUAAAGAUGACAAUGAAAUUCAAUUUGAAUAGCUUUGUGAGAGACCAUACGCUACAGACUAUGUAUGCUGCCUAUCCAGCCAUAGUUUCGUAAGUAGAUGUGACUUACACAUUUUUACAUUUAAAAUUCGAGUGGCUCUUAAAAGGGGUAAAUUGAGCAAAUUUCCGAGAUGACCUUACAGAGAUACUACAAACCAUGUUCUAGUUUUUCAAUAACUCUUUUAUUUAUACAUUCAGUACGUUGUGCGAUUGUCCGAAUUUCUGAAAGUAUUUAAAACGGAAUUUUGUAUACAUGUAAGAAAAUGUUGCGAUAUUUCAUUAACAUUUGAAAACGCUUACUAGUAUAAGAAAUGUUUGAAAGAGAGAACAAAAAUAUUUGCACUACGCAUUUACGUAAGAGUUACGACUGGAAUUUAGACAAAAAACAAACAAAAAAUAAACAACAAAAAAAACAACGAUUCAAAACUUAUUUUAUAUUGUACCUCAACUAUUAAGAAUGCCCUUUGCAUGCUUGCAUGCAGCAUUGCAAUAAGAACAAUCACACCAAGUACCAGGAAUGUAGAAGACGAA